UUAUGUCCUUAAAAAAUUGUGUAUUAACCCUAGGGCUGGGGAUAUAAGUCAGUGGUACAAGGGCCUGCCUGGCAAGCACAAGGUAUUGAUUUCAAUUCCCGGUACCAAAAAAAAAAAGUCUAUUAACAGGAAAAUAUCUGUAAUGUGUAUACCUACAUGAUAUUCCAGCAAACAAAGAGAAAAAAGACUAAGAUACUUGAGAAGUCAACUAGGAGUACCAUGAUUUUCUUACCAGAACAAAACUGUGUAGUCAGUUUCCAAUCACCAGGACAGAACACCUGACACCCACAUCAUAAAGGAGGAGAGGUUUAUUUUGGCUCAUGGUUUUUGGAGGAUUCAGCCCACAAUUAGAUGGCUCCACUCCAAGGUACAGUGCAAAGGCUUCACAGAGGAAUGCUGUUCAACCCAUGGCAGCCAGGAAAAAGGAAGGGAGAAGAGGAAAAUUUGAUCUAAGAUCCUAAGUGAAAAGAAAAAAGAACCUUCAUCAUGGCGGUGCCUGUGUUCUAGCAGUCUUUCUUCACACAAGAAUGCACCUCUUAUAAUAGAACUUCAAUAUGGGGGGAAAGAGGUUACAUCAGUUAUUAAAUGUGCUCACAAAGACUUUGAAUUGGAGGCACCCGACACAUUGCUGAUACUCUGUAUUCUUGGCAACAUCCUGAGCUUUGUAUAUGCAACCUUUACUCUGCAGCCAAGGACAAUCAAGUUUGUUAAAUUGCUUCAUGUUUUCAAGCAACGUUAUAAAGCAUUCUCGAGAAAAUUUUUCGGUCCGUCAUUCCUGACCUUUUUGAAACCAUGCCCCAGAAGAGGAAGUUGGCCAGGUCUCAACAUCUAGCUCUCAACAUGAACCAGAGGCUGAGUAAAGAAGAGUAUCCACAGUAGAAGAGAUGCUCCCACCACCAUAAAGGUGGCUACAGGGACUUCCAGAGUAAGGGGCAGGGGAGGCAGCAUUCUAUCAGAUCGAAUCAGUUCAGGAUUGGAUGAAGUAUCUGAAUACAGGGCAGCUGUACAGCUUUCCUUUAAUUUUGACAGGUGACAAACAUGGCUAAGAGUGUGGUAAAGAUGGACCUAGCCCUCAGUAGCUGUCAUUUCACAAAGA